CGGGUUUGUAAUGAGUCAAUAAAGUUAUUACAAACUGCUGCUGCUGUCUGUACAGCUGAUGUUGGGGUUUGUUGUUCUCUCAGUCUGUCAGGUGGAGGUGGAGGAGGGGGCGGAGUCUGUCCAACUGCCCUUCAAGACCACAGCUAACCUGCCUGAGAGAGCUGAAGUGGAGUGGGAACGCACUGAACCCAAACCCAUAAUAAUAGUCCAUGUGUAUAAGAACGGUUCUGACCAGCCUGUAGAACAGAACCAGGAUUACAGAGACCAAACUGAGAUGAAUAAAGACCUGCUGAAAACUGGAGACCUCAGUCUGACCCUGAAAUACCCCAAAGAGAGAGACACAGGAACAUACUGCUGCAACUUCCACAGCAAGGACAUCUGGAGAGAGAAAACAGUGCAGCUCACAGUCAGAGGGAGAACCAGGAACAGAAGCAGCUCCAUUGAUCCAACUCCUCUGAUGGCUGAUCAAUCUGUUUGAUUGGUCUGUUGAUCAAUCUUUGAUUAUUGAUCUUGUUGAAGGGGCUCAAAGGAAGAGAAUGUCAACGUUCAGCUUUCAGUGUUUCCUCUCUUCAUCGUCUGAAAUAACCUGCAGUCCAUACUGUGAUUGAUUGAUUGAUUGAUUGAUUGAUUGAUUGAUUGAUUGGUCUCAUGUAGCUCUAUAAUGUUUCUCUGAUGUUUGUGUAUUCAGCUUCUAUACAUAUAUAUGUGGCUGUGUCUCAGGAGGUAGAGCGGGUCGUCCACUGAUCAGAAGGUCACUGGUUCGAUCCCCGGCUCCUCCCGCUGCAUGUCGAAGUGUCCUUGAGCAAAAUACUGAACCCCAAACUGCUCCUGAUGCUGAAUCACUGUAUGGAUGUGUGAAUGAGUGAAUGUGUGAAUCAGUGAAUGAAUGAGUGAAUGAGUGAAUGAAUGAAUGAGUGAAUGAGUGAAUGUGUGAAUGAGUGAAUGUGGCCUGCUGUGGAGACGCUGGUCUCUCUCGUCUCCUCCUCCUGAGUCAGGUUGGCGAGUGGUGAUGUAUCCUCAGUUCCCACAUUACAAUCUGUGACAAUAACUUACAAUGUGUAACUGAGUCCACUGGGACCAGUUUGCCUUAAUCCAAUAUAUAUUUUAAUCUUUUUGUAUUACAGUUCUGCACAAAGGUGCUUUAUAAAUAAAGUUCUGAUUGAAUUCAGUCUGCUCUCUAAUAAAAAGUCUUCUUAGAAAUCAAUGAACCACUUUGUGUUUUGUCUUCUAGACCAGUCAGAGUAUCCUAGUGAAGCCUGGAGAUGAUGCUCCUCUUCAGUGUCGGGUUCUGUUGGACUGGAUCAUCUCUUAAUUUAUGCCUUAAUUAUUUAUAUUUGUGUCCUGCACUGAGCCAAAAUACUGUAAAAUCACAGGAAAUAUCUGCCAGCAGCGUGUACAAUGUGCAACCUACUGCUGAUUUCUAAAGAAUACACCUAACUUAAGUGAAGUUUUUGAUUUGAUCCCCAGUUAUUGUGCUAAUAUUAAGACUCAGGAUUGUUUUAUUUGGGAUCUAUUCUGCCCUCUAAACUUAUAAAUGUUUUAUCUUGUGACAGAAUUCAGUGUCGCUCUAACUUAAAGAUUAUACAACCAUAAACUGUUACAAUGCACACCCUGUAGCUACGUCAUCAUUUAUGUAACUUCAACUUGUAACAGCAAUUUUAACAUUUUAUAACAGAGAUUUGAUUGAUAUUCAUUUAUUUAUAAGACAAGAAUCUUAUUCUAAGAACAAGUUUCCAUAAAUGUUACAAUUUAAAUACAUUUAAUUGGUUAAACAUCUAAAAAUGAUAUUUGAGGAUUAUUUUAUUCUUAAU
rnacentral:lncRNA from 15 species